AGUAACCAAUGAUAUUUUUAGAGAAGAAAGCAUACAGAUAGAAUAAUUGAGCUUCUAUAUUUUUUGUUUUGUUUCUCCCAUACCUUCACUCAAUACACAGUUGAAAAAGUGAUUUAUGAUGACCAAAUUAUGCUGCAGACUAUGCUUACUUUAUUAUUUGUUUUGUAAAAAUGUGCAUAACUUUAGUUAACAUUCAUUCGAACUCAUAGGAAAUUGCAGAUUUCGAGAAUUGGAUGAGGAUCAGUACAAGAUUGUAUUUUAGACAACGAUCCUAGAAAUUGCAGAUUAGGGACUCGUCUGUUGAUUUUUCUGUUGUUUGUGUUAACCUUGACAAAUUCAGAAUGUCAGUUGAUAACCUGUCAUAGCGGAGUCAUUCAAAUGAGAUUACAAGCCAUUUGAAUUUCAAGAGACACUCAAUUUCAGCUGAUGGUGAGGGAAUAAAAGAUUAUCAUGCCAUAGAGAGUUGGUAAUCGCAAGCAGCAGCAACGGGUUCUGAUUUUUCUAAUCCAGCCAUACUUUUGAAACAUGAAUAGGAUUCAAAUGUCUGCUCAAGAUUACCCAGCUCUAUUUGAAUUGGCAAAUGACAGCUCUAUUUCACAAGGUCAUGGAGCAAUCCCCAGAUGCGGAUAAAGCCAUGAGGGUUCACGAGUUUCUAGAUUUCCAGUAGAAGAAUAAGGUUUUACAGAAGUACUAUUUCAGAAUUGAUCCCAUUGGAGAGGGUGAUAGAUGGCGUUGAACAUAUGGUCAAGAAAUAUACUCGUCGUAGCCUUUACAAUAGUAUGUUUAAUGAGAAGUAGUUCUAGGUGUACAUUACUUAUACAGUUGUUUAGUUAGUAGUCCUUGAUGUAAACUUUGCUGUUGAUUAUGCGGGUGUAAUAUUGAGAAUUAUU